GACGAACGCUGGCGGCGUGCUUAACACAUGCAAGUCGAACGGAAAGGCCCUGCUUUUGUGGGGUGCUCGAGUGGCGAACGGGUGAGUAACACGUGAGUAACCUGCCCUUGACUUUGGGAUAACUUCAGGAAACUGGGGCUAAUACCGGAUAGGAGCUCCUGCUGCAUGGUGGGGGUUGGAAAGUUUCGGCGGUUGGGGAUGGACUCGCGGCUUAUCAGCUUGUUGGUGGGGUAGUGGCUUACGAAGGCUUUGACUGGUAGCCGGCCUGGGAAGGUGACGAGCCACCAUGGGACUAAGGGAGGGCGCAGACGCGAACGGGAGGCAGUAGGGGAAAGUAUUACGGAAUGGGGCGAAGCGAGAUGCGACGGCGCCGCGUGCGUAAUACCGUCUUACUAGUGAUAAACAGCUUUCUACGGUAACGUGCACUUAGUGACGGUAAUGAAUCAGAAAGCACCGGCUAACUACGUG
rnacentral:rRNA from 1 species